CCGGAAGAACCUUUCCAGGUUUUGACCUUCUUUGAAAACCCUUGAGAUAGGGGUUUUCCUUCGGGAACCGAGUGACAGGUGGUGCAUGGUUGUUGUCAAGUUGUGUCGUGAGAUGUUGGGUUUAGUUCCCCAACGAGCGCAACCCUUGAUUUUUAUUGCCCUCCAUUUGUUGGGCAAUUUAAGGGGGAUGCCGGGGACCAACCGGAAGAAGGUGGGGAAGACGUCAAAUCAUCAUGCCCCUUUUGACCUGGGGUACACACGUGGUACAAUGGACGGUACAAAGAGGUGCAAGACCGCGAGGUGGAGGUAAUUUCAUAAAACCGUUUUCAGUUUGGAUUGUAGGGUGCAAAUUGCCUACAUGAAGCUGGAAUCGGUUGUAAUUGCGGAUCAGCCUGCCGCGGGGAAUACGUUUCCGGGCCUUGUACACCCCGCCCGUCACAACACGAGAGUUUGUAACACCCGAAGUCGGUGGGGUAACCUUUUUGAGCCAGCCGCCUAAGGUGGACAUGAGGUUU
rnacentral:rRNA from 1 species